AUGUUCACUUGUUCCUUGCAGAUUGGAGGAGAGAACAGUUCCAGAAUGAAGGACUUCAGGAAAAAUAUGAUGAUCUUCAAAAGAAAGUCGCCAGUCUUCGGAAAACAAAUGGUAACAUUUCUGAUAUCCCAUCACCCAGUGCUCUUGAGCCCCUCUGAAGCGACUGGUUCAGCCUUUCCUCUUGUCUGCCGUUUCAUCUGUUUCGCUUGUGUCGGCAUGCCUUUCUCUUGCACGUCCUGUCUACGAGCUCCACCUCAAUGUUUUGCGUGGGACUUGUCCCACGUUACUUCUGUCCAUUUCUGUUUGCCUACCUCUGCUCUGCCAUUCCUGCUCUUUGCAAUGCAUGCCAUGCCCUCCCCUAAGGACUGGCUUUGCUUCGGUCUUUCAGGCACUUGCCACAGUUUCAUGAAGUUGGUGAGAUGCAAAGCAUUACGCAGAGAGGGAGAUGGUUUCUCUUCCACGUGUGUUUCUCAACAACAUCCAAACACAGGGGCUCUGUCGGGACUUCCAAGUCAGAGGGGCCAUUCCUGCACAAGGGAUAGCUCUUCAAAGACUUAAGAUGGGAGAUGGCCCCAAAACGGCUCAGUUAAUGCCCUCUGCCACUGCCCUUUCAAAGCUAAGUAGUAUAUGCUAUCAUCCAUCGGUCAGACAGCAAAGUUCAAGGGGCCAUUCUCAUGCCAUUGAUGCCUCCCCAAAGCUUAUGAAAUAAAACAAGGCUGCAAAUUUGCUGAGUGAUGUUU
ensembl:lncRNA